rnacentral:rRNA from 1 species
CCUACGGGCGGCUGCAGUGGGGAAUAUUGGACAAUGGGCGAAAGCCUGAUCCAGCCAUGCCGCGUGUGUGAAGAAGGCCUUCGGGUUGUAAAGCACUUUCAGUGGGGAAGAAAGCCUUGGGGCUAAUACCCUCGAGGAAGGACAUCACCCACAGAAGAAGCACCGGCUAACUCCGUGCCAGCAGCCGCGGUAAUACGGAGGGUGCGGGCGUUAAUCGGAAUUACUGGGCGUAAAGCGCGCGUAGGCGGUCUGAUAAGCCGGUUGUGAAAGCCCCGGGCUCAACCUGGGAACGGCAUCCGGAACUGUCAGGCUAGAGUGCAGGAGAGGAAGGUAGAAUUCCCGGUGUAGCGGUGAAAUGCGUAGAGAUCGGGAGGAAUACCAGUGGCGAAGGCGGCCUUCUGGACUGACACUGACGCUGAGGUGCGAAAGCGUGGGUAGCAAACAGGAUUAGAUACCCGUGUAGUC